GUGGCCGUGGCCGCGAGCCGCGACGCAAGCACGCGCCGCUCCUGGGAAUUGUUUCGAGAAGGAAUAUUUUCGUCGGACUAUUUCUCGAUUUUCAUC
ensembl:ncRNA T10B5.13 ncRNA